AGAUGCCCGAGCCUCUUAUCUACUCAUGACAAACAUAUCAGUUACACCAUAUGGAAAUACCACAGCGCCAUCACCGCUCAUAUCAUUCACCACAUGGGCAACAACUGGUGCUAGUGCUGGUGCAGGUUUCUUGAUCCUGGCCAUCAUAGUUAUCUGUGUAUUAUGCAAGUCAUCAAAAGUAUCAGUAUUUUGCGGACAUCACUAUACACGAUCUCUCCAAGCUGUUCAAGUAGAACCCAUGGAAAAUGAACAGACUCGUAUGUAGAUACCAGGGUAUACCGGAUAACAGGGGAUAUCAUCAACCACGUUUUAGCCGUGGCAAUCACUGUAAUUGUCCUUGCUGAUUAAGGUGACUGAGAAGAUAUGCGGUGCAUACUUACAACGGAUUGUUUUAUACCGUUUGCAGAAAUGU